rnacentral:rRNA from 1 species
UACCAGACUCCUACGGGAGGCAGCAGUGGGGGAUAUUGCACAAUGGGGGAAACCCUGAUGCAGCGACGCCGCGUGGGUGAAGAAGCGCCUCGGCGCGUAAAGCCCUGUCAGCAGGGAAGAAAAUGACGGUACCUGAAGAAGAAGCCCCGGCUAACUACGUGCCAGCAGCCGCGGUAAUACGUAGGGGGCAAGCGUUGUCCGGAAUUACUGGGUGUAAAGGGAGCGUAGGCGGGAGUGCAAGUUGAAUGUAUAAACUAUCGGCUCAACUGAUAGAAGCGUUCAAAACUGCACUUCUUGAGUGAAGUAGAGGCAGGCGGAAUUCCUAGUGUAGCGGUGAAAUGCGUAGAUAUUAGGAGGAACACCAGUGGCGAAGGCGGCCUGCUGGGCUUUAACUGACGCUGAGGCUCAAAAGCGUGGGUAGCAAACAGGAUUAGAUACCCUAGUAC